rnacentral:rRNA from 1 species
GACGAACGCUGGCGGCGUGCUUAACACAUGCAAGUCGAACGGAAAGGCCCUGCUUUUGUGGGGUGCUCGAGUGGCGAACGGGUGUGUAACACGUGAGUAACCUGCCCUUGACUGUGGGAUAACUUCAGGAAACUGGGGCUAAUACCGGAUAGGAGCUCCUGCUGCAUGGUGGGGGUUGGAAAGUUUCGGCGGGUGGGGAUGGACUCGCGGCUUAUCAGCUUGUUGGUGGGGUAGUGGCUUACCAAGGCUUUGCCGGGUAGCCGGCCUGGGAGGGUGACCGGCACCAUUGGGACUGGGAUCCGGCCCAGCCUCCUCCGGGAGGCAGAAGUGGGGAAUAUUCCAAAAUGGGCCGAGGCCUGAUGAAGCAACGCCGCGUGCGGGAUGACGGCCUUCGGGUUGUAAACCGCUUUCGCCUGUGACGAAGCGUGAGUGACGGUAAUGGGUAAAGAAGCACCGGCUAACUACGUG